rnacentral:piRNA from 1 species
UUGAUCGAUGUUGUCAAGGUA